GACGAACGCUGGCGGCGUGCUUAACACAUGCAAGUCGAACGGGUCUGCCCUGUUUUUUGCGGGUUGGGUCAGUGGCGAACGGGUGAGUAACACGUGAGUAACCUGCCCCUCACUUCUGGAUAACCGCUUGAAAGGGUGGCUAAUACGGGGUGUUCUGGCUGUGCCGCAUGGUGUGGCUGGGAAAGAUUCACUUUUGUGGUGUUUUGGUGGGGGAUGGGCUCGCGGCCUAUCAGCUUGUUGGUGAGGUGAUGGCCUGCCAAGGCUUUGACGGGUAGCCGGCCUGGGAGGGUGGGCGGCCACACUGGGACGGAGAGACGGCCCAGACUCCUGGGGGAGGCAGCAGUGGGGGGUAGUGCACAAUGGGCGGAAGCAUGAUGCAGCGACGUCGCGUGAGGGAUGGAGGCCGUCGGGUUGUGAACCUCUUUCGCGGGUGAAGAAGGUCCUGCUCUUUGUGGUGGGGUUGACGGUAGCCGGGUUAUGAAGCGCCGGCUAACUACGUG
rnacentral:rRNA from 1 species